rnacentral:rRNA from 1 species
UACGUAGGGGGCGAGCGUUGUCCGGAAUUAUUGGGCGUAAAGAGCGUGUAGGCGGCCAGGUAAGUCCGUUCUGAAAGCCCGGGGCUCAACCCCGGGAGGCGGAUGGAUACUGCUUGGCUCGAGUCCGGAAGAGGCGAGUGGAAUUCCCGGUGUAGCGGUGAAAUGCGCAGAUAUCGGGAGGAACACCAAUGGCGAAGGCAGCUCGCUGGGACGGUACUGACGCUGAGACGCGAAAGCGUGGGGAGCAAACAGG